rnacentral:rRNA from 1 species
CCAAUAGCGUAUAUUAAAGUUGUUGCAGUUAAAAAGCUCGUAGUUGAAUUUCGGGAUCAAUACGUCGGUCGUGCUUUCGGGUACGUACUGGCGUCAUUGGUUUCUCCUUUCUGACGAACCAUGAUGUCAUUAAUUUGGUGUUAUGGGGAGUUAGGACUGUUACUUUGAAAAAAUUAGAGUGUUUAAAGCAGGCAUUAGCUUGAAUACAUUAGCAUGGAAUAAUGAAAUAGGACGUUCGAUCCUAUUUUGUUGGUUUCUAGGAUCAACGUAAUGAUUAAUAGGGAUAGUGGGGGGCAUUAGUAUUCAAUUGUCAGAGGUGAAAUUCUUGGAUUUAUUGAAGACUAACUACUGCGAAAGCAUUUGCCAAGGAUGUUUUCAUUAAUCAAGAACGAAAGUUAGGGGAUCGAAGACGAUCAGAUACCGUCGUAGUCUUAACCAUAAACUAUGCCGACUAGGGAUCGGAUGACGUUAAUUUUUUAAUGACUCAUUCGGCGCCUUACG